AUUAUUUCUGAAAGCAUGUGAAAUAAGACUUUAAGAAAACAACCUUUGGAAUAUCUAAACCGUGCACAUUUCACAUGUGUGUGUGUCUGUUUUCAUACUUUUUCCUUAGUUGAUGGACCUCUACACAUUGUUAUAUUUCAAUAUCUGAAAUGGUAGCACUUGUAGAGUAUCCUGCAAGCAGAAUCUGAGGAAAACCUUAAGAUUUACUACUUUUGUUUAGUUGGUGAACACUGGAAAGGAAAGAGCAAAAGUGAGCCUUAUUUUUUACAUGGGCGGUGAGUUGGCAUCUGAUUCCUUUCUAUUACAUUACUUCCAGAAGAGCAGAUGUUUACCAGCUUUACAUUCUACAUAACUCAAUUGGUGGGACCUCGCAUAUGUCAGGGGGUCAUGUAAAUGAGCCAUUCAUAAGUGAAGAUGGGUCUCUGGCGUCCUCUUAAAUCACAAGUUCCACUACUCCACGCAGAGAUUCACAUGCUAGGCUUUGGCACACUGAUACUGAGUGGCGCGGGUCAAUAAGGAGCGUCAAUAUUCAUUAUCAUCAUCAUAUUUCAUUUCAGUAUAUGUGUUUUUAUUAUGUUAAUAAAAGUAAGUAUUCCCUUUUUCAAAAAGAAAACAAAGUGUUCCCCAAAAUACA